GUACUCUCUCUGGCACCACAUAUACCGAAAUGAGAACAAUAUAGAGAAGAUUAGCAUGACCCCUGUGCAAGGAUGACACGAAAAUUUGUGAAGCAUUCUAUACUAAA